rnacentral:tRNA from 2 species
GGUCAGGUGGCUGAGUUAGGCGGUAGGCUGUAAACCUACUUAUGGGGAAAAGACCCCCUGGUCG